UGUUAGGGGUAAAAGUGACUGUUGUUAAUCUUGAGGUGAGUGUGAUCAAACCAGACACACGAUAAAGGAAAUCUGUGAAGAUGUGAACAAGUUUUUAAAGGAGUGGGGCUAGUAAACACCCCUGUGGGUCCCCAGUGCUAAUAUCUAAAGGUUCAGAGAAUUUGUUCUUAAGUUUUAACCACCUGAAAGAGUUUGUUAUUCAGCCUGGGUGAAGGGUGAUCAAUAAACACACACCUUGCAUUUGUGCCAGAGGCCUCUAGGUGUUGGAGUGCAGACACAGUGAAACUGCAUCAUCAGCAGACCUGUCUGCUCCAUAUGCAAACUGAUGAGGCUCUGGGACAACACUGGAGAGACGGUUACAAACUGGGCGUUUGGUGAUUUUCAUGGUAACAGACGUCAAAGCAGCAGAUCCGUGGUCACCCAGACGGCUCGGGCUGGGUUUCACAGGCACAAUCACCUGACACACUGCUUUGUGUUAAAUUUUAAUUUUUUAAUUCCAUGUGUUCACUGUAAGAGCAGAUUUAUCUUUAUCAUACUGGUUACACAAUAUUAUACAUUUAAAAUGAAACUUUUAACACGCAGCACAACCUCAGCUCCUCAGCAAUUUCUGGACGAACUGAUCUCUGAUACAUUUAUGUGUUUCAGUUCGUUGUAACACUAACACUAACUUUAUCUUUGAUACUUUUAUAUGAUUAGCCAUUGUUCCAAAGAUAACUUUCUCGUCACAUUUAACACUCACAGUCGAGACUGACUGUGCUCAAAGCCAGAGGUGAAUUCCUUCCCCCAUCCAGUUACAAUCUAUCCUUAAAGUACGACGGCUAUCUGUGAGAGUUUUGGUCACACUCACCAGAUGCAUGAGCUCUGUCCUCUCAACUGAGAAUUGAUUGACUCUGUUUUGCUUUAUAAUUGUACUCUAUCAUUUUAUUACAUAUAUGAAAGACAACUGCUUGUUUUAUUAUCAUUUACUUGUUUGUUUCCACAACAUUCAUCAAGCCAAAUUAAAAGAGGAAAAAAAUGGCUCCUCUGGGAGCUUUGCCAAUCAAAAAACAAACGUCAGCCCUUCACACUGGAAUUACUGGCUUUGAUUGUAAUUUAUGUGCCGAUCAGUGGCUUGAGGGCAGGAAUGUUAUCAAAUUAAUAAAGGACACAUUAUAAAAGCAGCAAAGAUCAGUUUUUAGUUCUUUUGAAUAAGAUAGUCACACAAGGAACUAAGUCCUGGCUCUUGAAAUGAACAGAGAAAGAAGAAAAGCUGAGAAUCAGAUGAGGGCUGGAGACAGAGGACAGUGGGCCAGUAAAACUGAAUAUGUUCUGGUUGUUGCAGGAAACGUGGUCGGUCUGGGGAACGUGUGGAGGUUUCCUUACCUCUGCUACAAGAACGGAGGAGGGGCCUUUCUGGUGCCGUACUGUCUGUUAGCUGUGGUGUGUGGGAUACCUCUGUUUCUGCUGGAGACUUCAGUCGGUCAGUACACCCAGGAAGGAUUCAUCACCUGCUGGAGGAAACUGUGUCCACUGGCACAAGGGAUAGGAUACGGACAUUUCGUGAUGAAACUUUAUGACUUCAUUUACAUUAUAAUCCAAGUCUGGGCUCUGUUCUACCUGGCGUCUUCAUUCACAUCCAAGCUCCCCUGGGCCAGCUGUGACAACACCUGGAACACAGUGAACUGUGUGGGUCUUCAGAGUUUGUCAAAUGAGACUGUAAAUCACACCAUGUUGACCAACACCACCUCUGCUGCUACUGAGUUCUGGGAACGGAGGGUGCUGGUCGUGUCUGGAGGUAUCGAGGAGCUGGGCAGUGUGAGAUGGGAGCUGGCUCUGUGUCUUCUGCUCUGCUGGGUGUUCUGCUACUUCAGCAUCUGGAAAAGCAUCAGAUCCUCUGGAAAGGUUGCAUACUUCACCGCCACUUUCCCCUACGCCAUGCUCCUCAUACUGCUCAUCAGGGGACUGACUUUACCUGGAGCAUGGGAAGGAAUCUACUUCUACCUGUACCCAGACUUGAACCGCCUGGCUAACCUUGAGGUCUGGAUAGAAGCAGGCUCUCAGAUAUGCUUCUCCUACAGCGUGGCUAUAGGAACUCUAAGUGUUUUAGGCAGCUAUAAUGAGUACAACAACAACUGUUACAGGGACUGCUUUUGGCUCUGUCUGCUGAACAGUGGGACCAGUUUUGUUGCUGGAUUCGUUGUCUUCUCUGUCCUUGGAUUCAUGGCUCAGAAACAGGGUGUUGCUGUCAACACUGUAGCUGAGUCAGGUCCAGGUCUGGCCUUCAUUGCCUACCCUCAGGCUACAGCCAUGAUGCCUUUACCACAGUUCUGGACCGUCUGCUUCUUCCUGAUGCUCAUCUUCCUCAGUGUCGACACUCAUUUUGUGACAGUCGAGUGUUUUAUCGCCUCAAUAAGCGACUUGUUUCCGAAGCACUUACGUGCACCGGGACGGUCUGAAAUCUUUGUCCUCCUCAUCUGUUUGUUCUUCUUCCUCACACAUCUGACCUUGGUCACUGAGGGAGGGAUUUACAUAUUCCAGCUUAUUGAUUAUUAUGGUUGUACCAGAGCUUGUCAUUAUUUUAUGGCUUUAUCUCAGUGUCUGGCUCUGGCCUGGGGUUUUGGUGCUGAGCGUGUUAUUGACGUCAUCGAGGACAUGACAGGACAGAGGCCAUGUGCUUUCUUCAAACUGUGCUGGAAAUACAUCAUCCCUCUGCUGACACCGAUUUCCUUUAUCCUGUACCUGGUUGGUUACACACACCUCAAGAUUAACGACCGAUACGUUUACCCUGCCUGGGCGUACAGACUGGGAUGGACCAUGACUCUCUCCUCUGUUCUCAUGGUGCCACUGUGGGCAGCUGGACAGAUGUGUUUGACAGCAGGAACCUUCAGAGAGCGUUUGCACAUCCUUUGUCGACCCGCUGAAGAUCCAGCCCAGCAGAGAAGAUAAACAGGAGAGGAGGAGGAGGAGGAGGAGGUGACUGUGGAACUGAGGACGUCUGCAGUGACGACUUCAAAUUCCCUGAAAAGUCACAUUAACUACAAACUUGAGUUAUUAGGUCAAUUAUAAACAAGUAAAAAUGUUGGUUACUUCUCACUUCUGUCUUCAAAGUUAUUGAUUAUCUUUAAUUUGAGGUUUUCUGUUUCCUUUAUCUCGUCAGAAUCUGUUUUCUUCUUGUGUUCUUAGUUCAGUCAAUGCCAGCUCUCUUGCUCUAUUUAAUCAUCAACGUUAGAGUAUCUUGUCCAAACAAGACAUUUUUUCUUCCUGUUCCUUCCUCAUUCCAGGGUUUUCUGACCAAUCUUUCCUUUUCCAAAUUGAGGCUCUAAGGGUCUUGAGACUGAAAUGUAAUGUUUGACGUGACCUGUAUAAAUAAAACUGACUUGACUUAA